AAUAAGCGGAGGAAAAGAAACUAACAAGGAUUCCCCCAGUAACGGCGAGCGAAGCGGGAAUGGCUCAAAUUUGAAAUCUCCGGUGCCUGCACCGGCGAAUUGUAGUCUGUAGGGCCAGUUUCGCCCGAGACGGUGUCCCCAAAGUCGUCCUGGAAAGGCGGGCCGGAGAGGGUGAGAGCCCCGUGCGAGGGGGCACCGUCGGAGGUAAGAUCUGUGCCCGAAGAGUCGGGUUGUUUGGGAUUGCAGCCCAAAAUGGGUGGUAAACUCCAUCUAAAGCUAAAUACUGGCACGAGACCGAUAGCGAACAAGUACCGUGAGGGAAAGAUGAAAAGCACUUUGAAAAGAGAGUCAAAAAGUACGUGAAACCGUCAGGGGGGAAACGAACGAGGUUGGUGCAGUGAUUGCGUAGGUUCAAGUGCCACCGAAGGCGCUGACAUGGCAACGUAGAUCGUUCCGUGGCAUACGCCCGAGGUAGCGCCGUACUCCUCGCGAGCACGGACCAGCGGCGGUUGGAUCGGAGCCAUAAGGCCGCAGGGAAGGUGAGUCGGCGGUGGGUUGCCUGUCGUCGACGGCUUAUAGACCUGCUGGCUGGUGCGCCGGUUCGACCGAGGAAACAGGGCAGACCUUGCCCACAGCGGUGCACGCCGAAUGGCGGGGCCUCCCGUCAGGAGUGAAACGUGCGGUGUGGACUGCAUGCAGUGCUAACCGUGGCGGCGAUCUCGUGAUGGAGAGUGCCACCUGU
rnacentral:rRNA from 1 species